rnacentral:rRNA from 1 species
UGAAGUAAGUAAGGGCGUACGGUGAAUGCCUUGGUGCCAACAGGCGAAGAAGGACGCGGCAAGCUGCGAAAAGCCUCGGGAAGCUGCAAGCAAGCGAUGAUCCGGGGAUAUCCGAAUGGGGUAACCUGAUCGAGGCAAUACUCGAUCGUUCAUACCUGAAUACAUAGGGUAUGAAACGCGAAACCCGCUGAAGUGAAACAUCUCAGUAAGCGGAGGAAAAGAAAGAGAAAUCGAUUCCGUAAGUAGUGGCGAGCGAAAGCGGAUGGAGCCCAAACCGAAGGUAUUCCUUCGGGGUUGUAGGACCACGUCAUAUUCGACCAUACUGGAUAGUAGAACAGCCUGGAAAGGCUGGCCGGAGAAGGUGAAAGCCCUGUAGACGAAAUCCAGAGUGGGAAUUAGUGGUAUCCUGAGUAAUACAUCACACGUGGAACGAUGUAUGAACCCGCGCGGACCACCGCGCAAGGCUAAAUACUAGUUGGCGACCGAUAGUGAACAAGUACCGCGAGGGAAAGGUGAAAAGAACCGCUGUGAGCGGAGUGAAAUAGAACCUGAAACCGUAUGUCUACAAAGUGUCAGAGCAGAGCAAUCUGCGAUGGCGUGCCUUUUGUUUAAUGAGUCUGCGAGUCAGUGUUUGUGGCAAGACUAAGGGCUUCCGGCCCGGAGUCGCAGCGAAAGCAAGUCCGAACAGGGCGCAAUAAGUCGCAGGUACUGGACCCGAAGCGGAGGUGACCUACCCUUGGCCAGGUUGAAGCAUGGGUAAAACCAUGUGGAGGACCGAACAGGUGAACGUUGAAAAGUUCUCUGAUGAGCUGAGGGUAGGAGUGAAAGGCUAAUCAAACCCCGUGAUAGCUGGUUCUCUUCGAAAUGCAUUUAGGUGCAGCGUCACGUGCUGAUGCGCGGGGGUAGAGCACUGACAAGGCUAGGGGGCACACCCGCUUACCAAACCUUAUCAAACUCCGAAUACCGUGCAAUGGAACGUGGCAGUGAGACAGUGGGGGAUAAGCUUCAUUGUCGAGAGGGAAACAACCCAGACCAGCAGCUAAGGUGCCUAAAUAACGCUCAGUGGAAAGGAUGUGGGAUUACACAGACAGUGAGGAUGUUGGCUUAGAAGCAGCCACCAUUUAAAAAAUGCGUAAUAGCUUACUCAUCGAGUGAUCCUGCGCCGAAAAUGAUUGGCGAUCAAGCGUUAUACCGAAGCUCUGGACUUUGCCGCAAGGCAGAGUGGUAGAAGAGCGUUGCAUGCGCGUCGAAGGGCGAUGGCGACUGACCCUGGAGCACAUGCAAGUGAGUAUGCAGACAUGAGUAACGUUAAGCCGGGUGAAAUCCCCGGCCGCCGUAAACCCGAGGUUUCCAGGGCAACGUGUUUCGUCCCUGGGUUAGCCGGGACCUAAGCCGAGGCCGAGAGGCGUAGGCGAUGGACAUCAGGUUAAUAAUCCUGAGCUCGCAACCCUUAAACUGGGGGGACGCAUGAGAAAAGAUGACUAGGUUAUUGAAUUCCGAGUUGAGUCCACGGACUCAGCGCAUCAUUGGAUCGAGUGCCAAGAAAAGCCCCAGCGUAUGCUAAGCGACCCGUACCGCAAACCGACACAGGUGGGUGGGUAGAAUAUACCAAGGCGUAAGAGUGAAACCUGGUUAAGGAACUCGGCAAAUUAGCCCCGUAACUUCGGAAGAAGGGGUGCCUGCAGCGAUGCAGGCCGCAGAGAAAUGGCCCAACCGACUGUUUAUCAAAAACACAGCACUCUGCAAAGACGCAAGUCGAAGUAUAGGGUGUGACACGUGACCAAUGCCGAAAGAUUAAGGCAAGGGGUUAGCCGCAAGGCGAAGCUCUAAACCCAAGUCCCGGUGAAUGUCGGCCGUAACUAUAACGGUCCUAAGGUAGCGAAAUUCCUUGUC